GGUGAGUAACACGUGGAUAACCUACCUAUAAGACUGGGAUAACUUCGGGAAACCGGAGCUAAUACCGGAUAAUAUUUUGAACCGCAUGGUUCAAAAGUAAAAGACGGUCUUGCUGUCACUUAUAGAUGGAUCCGCGCUGCAUUAGCUAGUUGGUAAGGUAACGGCUUACCAAGGCAACGAUGCAUAGCCGACCUGAGAGGGUGAUCGGCCACACUGGAACUGAGACACGGUCCAG
rnacentral:rRNA from 1 species